rnacentral:lncRNA from 1 species
AAAAAUGCUAAAAAAUUUCUUAGUAGGAAUCAAACCCUUAACCUUUUAGUUACAAUUCUUAUUAGAUUUACCACUAAGCCAUAUGAAUUAAUUUGUUAUAUUUUUGGAACCAACAUAUAAUCAACAUGAGUUAAGUUAAAAGAAGAAAGGGGAAGUGUUUAUUUAUUUUUUCUUUUUUAUAAUAAGAGAGUAAAAUUCAU